rnacentral:sRNA from 1 species
UGACAAAUAUCCAUUACCCCACAUAGACGA